ensembl:lncRNA
CCAGAAGGAAGCACUGUGAGCACAAGAUAUCCACACUCAAAUGCUGCAAAUGCUAGUACAGAAACUCCAUUCUUCCUUGAUGUAUAACACUUCAAAACGACAGCACAAAUUCUUCUACGGCUAAACACAGCCCUGUACUAUCGAGACAAGGUAUUUUCCUAAAAUACAGACUUCACUUCAAAGGGAAAUUACUGACUUUAUGAUGAAAUUACUGGAGAAAGAUUGUAUUAUUCAGCAAGUGAGUAUAAUAUCAUACUACUAUCGCCUGACCUUAACAUUUAUGAUCAAAGUAGGCAUCUUGUCAAAACAAAUAUUUCGUUUACGCCUUUAGUUUUUCUUAAGAGAAUAUAUGCAUAAAAACUAGUUGAUCUACGCUGUGCCAAAGGGGCUGUUUUGCAAAGGACAUGAAUGGGAGGAGACAUAUCCUCUCAUAAACAUGGCAUGGGGGAAUAGCGCUAAUAAACAAAGGAGUUAUUUAGCUUGAUGUAGUUAAUGGGAGUAUGUAUCUAAUCCGGAAAUACAGUAAAUAAUGAUCACAUUAUUAGAUAAUUAUUCAUAAUUCACACAAAUUUAUUAACACUGUCUUUAUUAUUUCUUCUUGUACUCCUUGUCUUGCUUGUAUCUGCUUGUGAGUGAUUUUCUAUUGAGCUAAAUGCCACAGAAUGUGACAUUCUCAUUAACUCACUCGUGUUGUAUCACAUCACUGAAUAGGAUGUGUCUUCAGAAUCAAGAUUUAAAACAGAAGCGAUGGUGAAAGGAGUUCAUCCAUCCCUAGCCAAACAUACUUGCUUCCUUCUGGCAGCACUAGUGUUUAUAACCACUGGUGUUUAUAACCACUGGUGUUUAUAACCACAGAUCUGGCUGAAAAAUUACACAACACUGCAAACAGAAGAUUCACGUUCAACCAGAACAGAGUAACAUCUACAUGAGCACUAGAGUCAGUGCAAUGAAGUAGGUCACGUAUGCCAGGAUGGCAGGGAACGAUAAGCAGUAAAGACGUUAUAUGCUGCACAGAUUGUACAUACAAAAAAGCAACAUCCAGGAGAGAAAACAGGGCACUGAAGAGAGAUGCUUUUGAGAGACUGUGGAAACAACACUAACUCUGGAAUAUACAAAAGACAUUCCUUUUCUCAGCUGGUUUAUGUCUAAGAUUUUAUAUAAUCAAAUAACAUCUUUCACAGGCAUCAGCCAAACUCAGUAACAGACUUUGUUGUUUCACUUUUUCUUUGUCUAAGAACAAAAAACAAAACAAAACAAAACAAAAACAACAAAAGCAGCUUCCAGUGUCAAAAGUCAGCCUUCUUUUUAUCAUUAAUGCUGGAAAGACUGCUUGUACUGUAGGGUGAGAGACUGCAGCAAUAGGACAAAGAGUAAUGGCCUAAAACUUCAACAGACUAAGUUCUGUACUAACAUGCAUUAAGAACUUCUUUAUGGUAAGGGUGAGCACUGGAACAGGUUGCCCAGAGAGGUUGCAGUCUUCUUCUAUGGAGAUAUUCAAGACCAGUCUGGAUGCUUACCUGGGUGACCUAUUGUAGGGUACUUGCUUUAGCAGGGGGUUGGACUCAGUGAUCUCUUGAGGUCCCUUCCAACCCCUGCAAUUCUGUGAUUCUGUGAUUUAAGUGAAGCUGUAAGAAAGUAGACUUUGAGAAAUGUGCCUGACAAUAACGGUGGGAGUCCUGAGAGAGACUGUGGCAUUCAGAGAAAAUGAAGUGAGUACUUCUGAUCACAUCCUGCUUAGAUUCAGCACUGUAUCACACGUACUGUAUUGCAGCAAAUGCUACAAACCAAAACUCAACUGAAAAUAGUUUAAUUACAUAUCCAAAUCAGAGAAUUGGGAACUGAGUAAUCAACAACAUGCUCUGUAUCUUCAGCAUCUCUUCCGUCCUCCACCUCCUGGUUUACGUGCCUUUUUCUCUUAGCUAUAUUUAUUGUAACAAAUCUAAGAGAUUAAGAAAAACCAAAAGAAAUCACAAAUCUCCUGACACUGUAUUCCAUCUGACAUUGAAGAACUUUUAUUUCCAGUAGGCUGUUCUUUCCUCUUAAGAAUGGCUUUUACCUCCUGAUGUUUCAUUAGGAAAAAAAAGAAAAAAAAAAAAGGCCAAAAACCAUUUUCCUUCCUUUAACCAAAGGGAUUCAAAAAUGAGUAGUCAGUCUCCUAUUAGUAGGAUGCAGCCUCCCAGCUCUGUUGGCCAACAGGGAAUCUAUUCAGCUCGUCCCCACACCUCUUCACGAGCUGCUGCUGCCAGACCUGCAGCCAGAUUACAAACAAAGCAAUUCCUUUCCAAGCAUGUUUUCAAAGACUUUUAUCAUUUUUACAGUAACAGACUUAGUAUUAUAACAUCCUCUCCACUGAUUAUUGAUAGAUUCAUUUGAACACUUAUCAUGCUUAUCUGGAAAGAUAAUCUUGCAUGCAACAGCACAAUGUGGCAAUAGUCAGAGCUCAGAGUUGGCCCCUGGACACAUCUAGAAGGUAUAUGAAUUCAAAUGUGUCUUCUUUUUUUAAAGGCAAGAGUUAACCACUGCAAUGCAGAAUAAGGACUGACAUACAAAGUAGUUACCACAAACCAGCAGCUCUGCAGGGAAUAUUUAUGUACACACUCUCAACUCUUCCUUCUUCCCGUAAAUGCAAGAUAUGCUGCUUUUAAUUGUGUCACACUUACUCCUGGGUAGUAUAGAGAAGCAUACACACACACACAAAGCAAAACAACCACUGAAUGAGGUACAAUGCAUCAAUUUUGAAUUAAUUUGUUUACAAACUGUGUAGCCCUUGUACCUCACCAAUGUGAGUUCUUACACAAGCCGUGCAUGCACAGAUCUAACAGGCCUUUGUUAAUAAACGCAUUCUUAUGUUUUAUGAAACAUCUGUUAACCUGCUACUCUUCUGGAAACUGUCCCUGCAUUAUUCACUGAGCAAUAAUUCUGAUGACUUGUAACAUAAAGAAGGUAAUUAUUUCCAAGUUGCUGGAUUUGUUGGAGAAUUUUUUCACCUCUUAUUUUGUCUUUCACUGGACAAUUCUGGAGUAAAUCUGCAAAUGAUCUCUUAUCAACAGCUGCAUCAGACUUGACACCGUCAGGUUUUCAAAGUGGUUACACUGUGCAGCCACAAGGAGCCUUUUGCUGUUAUUUUACAGUAGGUAACAAUGAAAGAACGAUUAUAUCCACACACUUUGCUCCAAUUAUUAGUGACAACAGCCUGUGCUGGGGAAUGGCUGAUUUUGCUAAGAUUUGUUACCGAAUCCAUUUACAUUAGCUAUCUCAGCUAUGCAAACCAUUCAAAUUGCACUGCCUUUUAAAGUGCUUCACUCAGCACUUCUCAAGAGGUCUAACUACUCAAAAAACCUGUUUCUUUCAUCAUCUCUGGUACUUCACCUAUCAGCGAGUAGUAUAAACUUUAACAAGGAAUAAAAUUAUUAAACAUCUAUUAUUAAACAUGAGACACCUUGGAAGAACCAAGACUGUCUGCAUUAAGUACCAAUCCAGCUUCUUUGAAGGGCUCAGAAGGUCCAUGGAUGAGGAUGGUUUGGUUGAUAAACAUAGCUGAGUUGCCAGCAAGCUUCCAACCGUGUUCCUCAACAAGGCUUUUAAGGAAAGGUCCUUGCAGGGUAGAAGAGCUGUCUGAAGUCUCUUCUUUCUGGUCAAGGUGCUCUCAGUAGACAAAGUUCACUAGCACAGCUCCUCAGACUUGUGGUAGAGCUGUCAGGUUCAGCAUACUAGGAAAAGGGGGUGGACAAGAUUAUGAUAGUUUAGUGAUAUUCAGUGUGGUGAGCAUGAGGGGCAACAGAUUGAACAGGAAUUAACUGGUCAUAAAAUAGCAAGUAGGAUUCAAUGUAGGUAAGUGUAAAAUGAUGUAUAGGCAGAAAAAGCAAUUCUAACUUUGCACAUACCUGCUCCUGCAUGUAUUCAGAGCUGACCAUUAGCACUCAGAAGUAAAACACUGAAGUUAUGAUAGGAAGUUCCUAAAGCAUCAAUUCAAUCCCCAGUAGAAAUUCAAGACUCAAAGCAACUGUCGGGAUUUUUAUUUUUGAUUUACAGAUUGUAUUAUUUACAGAUAUGAUACAAUUUCCAUUAAAUAAGACAGGACUUUUCAGACUGAAAAAAGAGACAACUGGAAGGAUAUAACAGAAGACUGUAAAAUCCCGAGCACCUUGGAUGGUCACUGUUCAUUCUUCUUCCGAUUGAAGGCUGAGGUAACACCCAGUGAAGAUAACAGGCAGUUCAACACAAAGAAAAAGAGGUGGCUCCUCCCCCAGGGGUCAGCUGAUUUCCUGAACUCCUUGCCAAAAGAUGUUGUGAAGACUAGACAAUCUUGCACAGCAAUCUGUCCAAUGUUUGCUAAAUAUACAAAACCCAUAAUCUGCUUGAGAAGUGAAAAUGGUCAGAGGCUAUGAGAACAGUGAACAAAGAAACAUUUAUAUUUUACCUGUUCUUAGGCUUUUAUUAAGGUUACAGUGUCUGCUGGAGAUGGGAUACUGAAGUAGAUGGAACCUGGCUAAGUAUACCAUGGUCACUAUUGCUUUAUAUUCUAGUUACUGCUACAUGAAACAAACUCAGGAGAAGUACAUUGAUAGAAACUGCUCUUUAGCUAGAAUUGCCACCACAGAAUGGCAGGUGGCCCAGUCUAAAACUUCUCAGGGUUAGUCCAACAGAAAUAAGCAACAUCUUGAAUCCCCAAAGAACACACUGUAUCGAUUAUGCUCAGUUGCUUUUGCAUCAUAAAAUUAUCUGCAAGUUGCUCCUUCUUCUGCCACUGGGCCCCAUCCACUUGACUGCUGUCUAUUAAAUAUUCAUAAGCAUUGACAAGAUCCCUCUUUAGCCUUCUCUUCUCCUGGCUCAAUAGCCCCAGGUCUCUCAGCCUCUCCUCAUACAGCAGAUGCUCCAGGCCCUCAAUAAUCUUUGUGGCCUCUGCUGGACUCUCUCCAGCAGUUCCCCGUCUUUCUUGAACUGGGGAGCCCAGAACUGGACACAGUACUUCAGAUGUGGACUCACCAGGGCAGAGUAGAGGGGGAGGAUCACCUCCCUCAACUUGCUGGCCACACUCUUUUCAGAUACCAUUGGCCUUCUUGGCUACAAGGGCACACUGCUGGCUCAUGGACAACCUGCUGACACUCAGGUCCUUCUCUACAGAGCUCCUUUCCAGCAGGUCACCCCCUUGCCUGUACUCAUGCAUAUGGUUAUUCCUCCUCAGGUGUAGGUCUCUGCACUUGCCCUUGUUGAACCUCAUCAGGUUCAUCUCCACCCAACUCUCAAGCCUGUUCAGGUCUUGCUGAAUGAAUGGCAACACAGCAUUCUGGUGUGUCAGCCACUCCUCCCAGCUUUCUAUCAUCUGCAAACUUGCAGAGAAGGCCUUCUAUCCCUUCAUCUAGGUCACUGAUGUUGAACAAGAACAGAUCCUGUACUGGCCCCUGGGGAACACUGCAGGCCUCCAACCAGACUCUGUACCACUGACCACAACCCUCUGGGCACCGCCAGUCAGACAGUUCUCAAUUCACUCCAUUGUCCACUCACCUAUCCCACAUCUCCUAAGCUAACCUAACUCACGGGGACGUUAUGGAAGACAGUGUCAAAAGCCUUGCUGAAGUCAAGGUUCAUAAUGUUCACUGCUCUCCCUACCUCUACCCUGCCAGCCAUGACAUCACAGAAGGCUACCAAAUUAGUCAAGUGUGAUCUGCCCUUGGUGAAUCCAAGCUGACUACUCUGGAUAACCUCCUCUUCUUUCACUUGUUUGUAAAUGACAUCCAGACUGACAAUGGCACUCCUCCAGUUCACAGGCACCUCUCCUGUUUGCCAUGACCUUUCCAAGUUGAUAGAGAGCAGCCUGGCAAUCACCUCUGCCAGCUCCCUCAGCAUUCAUGGGUGCAUCUCAUCAGAGCCUGUGGAUUUGUGUGCAGCAAUUUUGCCUACAUGAUCCCUGACCAGAUCUUCCUUGAUCAAGGGAAGUAUUCUUUUCCCCACUCUCCUUCCUAUCUCCAGGGCCUGAGAUUUUCAAGGGGCAGCCUAAGGUGUAGAAGACUGUAGCAACAAAGGUGUUCAAGAACUCCAUCUUCUCCGUGUCCUGAGAUGGAUGACUGAAAACAGUAUGGAGUAGACAGGAAGAAAUCUAAGCUUGCAUAGUAUUCUUAAGAAUCAGGGAGGUUCAAAACCCAACUUAAAAUCAGGCCCACCAGACAAAAUUUAUAACCCACAAAUCUUACCAUCUUUAAAUGAAUCCAAAACCUUACUCUUGUCUUUUAGAAGAGAAUAAUAGCUUUUGUACGUUCAAAACUUCUCAAUAAGCACAUUGUAUAGUUGGGGUGAACUUUGUGUUACUUAUCAACAAGCAACUCCUACACAUCCAAACUAUCACUGAGCACGAUGCAAGUGCCAGAGCACCCCGCAGGCCCCACGCAAUGAUGCAGCUGAGGCUCAGCUGUUUUGUGCAGCCUGUGUCCCUUGCAUUUGCUGGCACUGCAACACAAAAAAGAAAGGGCACAAGGGGGCGCCUGAGGCCUCAAAUAUCCCAAGGUUUUCACACCCUGUCUUCUCUGCUACAGUACCUCUGUAGUAUUUCCAGUGUCUAAUUCAGAUCAAGAACAGACUGCUCUGAGCAGGAACAGGAGAGGGCACAAAAAAACCCUGAGCAACGCCCUGAGCUGCAUAGAGCCUAACACCAGUUUUGUUAUUGUACUGACAACAUUUUAGACUAUUUUCAUGAUCUGUUAAAGAUUUUAAUCUGUUGUAUAUUACUUUCUCUGAGUAAAAGCAUAGAUUAGUUUACGUAAAAAUAAAAAUCCUAGCAUAGGUGAGAUUUCAAUGGUAGGAAGUAGGAGAAUUAUCUUGAGAAAAAGCUAAGAUGAAAGUCAAAGUUAAAUAUUUUUGUCAAACUCAGCUUGGCAACUGCCCAGACUGUGGACUUUGGCAGAUUGCUCUCUGGUUAUAACAGAAGCCACUUCCUCUGUAGCAAGAGUCAUAUCAACACCAUUGUGUGCUGCCUGGGGACGGGCUCUGGGGUGUUUCAGUCCUCUGGGUGGGACCUUGGAGCUGCAUGUCGCUUAUGUAGAGCAGAGCGACUGGAAAACCAAAGCCACAACCCCCGCAGCAGCAGCCCUAUGGGAGUUCUCCUAUGCAUAUCUGGUUGGGAAAUGAAUCAGGGUAUUUUUCUCCCCACGCUGACCCUGGGAGCUCUGACAACCCUAUUCAGUAGAGAAGAGGAAGGCUCUGCCCGGGGUCCUCUACAGCUGCAAAUGACUCACACUGGAAGAGACCCUUCCAACGAGAUUUAAAGGGACAAAGUCUUCCAGAAGUGUUUCCAAAGUCAUCUUAAUAUGCAGAUUUCUAUCAUUUCAAGCUUUCUGCAUAAUGACUGCUCCUGUUGUACAGCCCAGGCUGGCGCAUGCUGUGCGCUUCAGGCCACAGCAAGAGCAGCAGGCCCAAGCCUACCUGCCCAGAUGUGCUGGGACCUGCCUGCUCCCAGAGAUAUCCCCAUGGAAAAACCACUCCCACACUUGCUGCCUCCUUAGGACAUGCCAGAAGAACAAAUCACACAUUCUGCUCAGUGCCUGCUGCUCUCCUGGUCACCAAAGAACACCAUGCAGAUGGGGCCUUCUCAGUAGGUUCCUCUCACACUCAGUGCCCAGCCAAAGGAGCAAGGAUGUGGCUGACGCUCCUGCUCUGAGGUUGCAUUGCUUUGUUUGCUCCAGAGGUAGGUGGCUUCCCUGCCCAUUCCUGCCUUUCCACAGCUCAACACGGGGUCACAAAGGUUCCAGCUGCUCACUGACAGGAGUUGAAGAUGGACGAUCCUACAAGUCUCUCCUACAGAAGAAAGCAUGAAAUCCUGUUGCCCGCUCCUCCUGCUCUGCUCCACAUUUCCAUACAGAGGCUCACAAAACAGGGGACCCUCCCACGUGGAUUUCAAACAUCCAAGUAGAACCAAAGUCAUCUCACAUGAGGGCCAGGCCUUUCCUGCAGAGGUUGAGGAAGAACAUACAACCAUGCUCCCCCACAGCGGUAUACAAGAAUGACAUCAUUAUGCUAAUAUAUAAGACAGGAAGCACAACCAAGCAUAAAAACCCACUGAAACUGAAUACAUAGGAAACACUGCCAAGAACACUAACGACUGCACUAAACAGAAAAUGAAAUAGUGUUUGGUUCAUCUGACUUCUUCCAGUUUUAGUAAUCUCUAGUGUCACUUGUAACAGUAAAAUCCAGUCCUCAGAGAGGGUGCUCAGGGCCUUUCAACUUCACAUGGAAAAUGAAGGUUUUUUCCAAGGUGAUGGUGACCUCCUAAUGUCUUACUCAGUCUAAAAACUGAUUUCAGUACUUUGACACCAGCCUAAUGACCCAGAUAAAACUGGCUGGGAUUUGCAUGCUGAGUUACACUAGUUCAUUGCCACUGAUAUUAACCAGCACUUUUUGCAUUUUAUUUAUUUAUUUAUUUUUAACUACUACUCUGUUUUACAGAGCAAUGCACUGAAUGCCUCCAAUCUCCUUCAGGAUGGCUUGUGUGCCUAAACAAACCUGUCCAAACCUGUACCAAGACUUGCCUAGACACAAGUGGCACCAGUGUCAUCUCAUCUGAAUGAAAACAUACAAAUAGGAUCAUCUGCACCACACUUGAUUGGUAAGACUUCUCCACAUCAACCCUAGAAAUUUCUAGGCAGAUCCCUGAAGCAAGAAAUCAGUCACAUUUGUGUUCCCUGCCUGUUCCCUCCUUUGGGCCGAGCAGCUGAGAAACUGAGCAGCAGUACCUACAAGAGCACAGCACUCAGCUGCUGGGAGGCAACGCCUUCAACGUCCUCAGCUUUCCAGAGAGCUGUGUAAAACUUAGCAAUAAAACUGUGAAACAAAAUCUGACCACUGACUGCUGACAAAGCAGCAGGUUCCCCAUCCUGCUUCACUUGCACUAGCCCUGGCACUCACGUGACCCCCACGAGAAGCCAAUUCAGAGCUAAAAAGCAUCAACUGGCUGCUAUAAGGAAAGUGAUCAGUUUUCUGCUUAAUCAGCAUGCUCAGUUGAGCGCUCUCACCUGACUGCCAGUGCCACAAUCUAGGUGAACUGGGGAGGAAAGGAAGCUUGCAUUAACCAGGGAAACACAAUCGACUUUGCUGAAUCAUUAAAUGAUGCACUACAUUACUGAACAGGUUGAAAUGAAUUGGUAAAGACUCCCGUAAGGAUAUCUGCUUGGCUUACAACUCGUUAUUACCAAGCAAUUAUGUUGAUUCCACUUAACUCAGCAGCAUGCCCCAUCUGCAGGUUUCAGUUAGGUUUAAUAGUGCACAACCUGCUGAAGCCAAAUGGGCAGCUCUCAGCAGCCAGAGUCGGGGCUCCACUGCCACGUGCCCUCCACUGAAUACACCUCCAAUUUUCCAAGAUUUCUAAAAAGCUCUUUCCCAUAGAAACCAUGUUAAUUUAAAUCAAUGCUAACUGCAGAACUUGGAGCUGAGGUCAUGGAUAUGUGUCUCCUUUGAUUUACAAGACAGAAUCCACUCAGCAUAACAUAAAACACUGCAGCCUUAGCAACGUACCAUUGCCCUCAAAAGCUUGUUCAUAAAACCUCAUUUUCUACAACGUGAACGACCCCACACAGAAAUUAUGAAGUGAAAUACAAGCAGGUGUUGCUGUUAUUAUUCACAAGACGUUUUCAGUUCCCUGAUGUUGGAUCUAUAUGUUCUACCUCAUGUUUGGAAAAUACAGUAAUUGUGUCAUUACUCUCCCUCAUAAUUCAGCAGAUCCUAUAAACCUGGAUGUAUUAAAAAUAUAAUUAAUCUCCUCAAACUUUGGAAAAUCUGAUCUAACAAUCCUGUUUUUUAACACUCGUACAUUUGAAAUAUAAUGAAUAUGUGACUGGUUUAUAUAGAAGAUACAAUGAGAAACAAGCAGCUCUCAGCUUUAAAUAGACUUCAGUACAGAACACCCAGAAGCCACAGGCCUUCCAAAAAAGUUCCAACCUGGAAGAGAAUUCAAGGUCUAGAAUAAUCAGUAGUCCCAUCUGUAGACUAGCAUAACCCAAGGCAGCCUGCUCUCUCACGCACCCCAUACCCACCAGCGUAGCAAACGGGACCCUCCAGAUACGUGAGCUUUGCCCACCUGUGACACCGACAUUACUCCUGAGUGCGGUCACUCCUGGCAACCCCACAGUCGUCUGUGGUGUGAGUUAUAGGCCCUGAAUGUACCACUUUUGAUUUCAUAAAUGCAUUACGCAUUCUGAAUGUUUUGGAAAGAAGUUAACCCAUUCUACCAACAAGCAAAAUGGAACAGCUAUUUUUAACUUCAAAUAAUUCUUUGCUUAGACUAAUGUAGGGUGUACGCAGGUGCAUGAAAUCACCACUUCUGAGCAGGGCAGGAACUGGGCUGGUUUCUCUGCUCACAGGGCCGCUCAGUACAGAACGAGAAAGCAGAGUUGCAGGCUUCGGUUUCUUCAGAAAACAGAAUUCUUACUGCUGAAUUUGUUCAAAGCUUCACACUAAGGCCAACUGCAAUGAGUGUAACAGUUUCUCUUCAGAGUCACCCCUGAAGAAAGGUAAUGGAAAAAACACAUAACCACGCUGAGUCUCCGAGGCACGAGUCUGCAUUCUGUCCUACGCAGACCAUGAAAUCAACACUCCCCACUAACGGUCAUCAGCAACGUGACCCCAGCCAGCCUGGAACACACGUAUGUGAACUGAUGAACUCCUAUUGUCUUAAGGAGCAUUUCUGGCUGUAGCCUCUGAGGACUGAAGUCUCCACACUGUCGUACAAAGUGGUACCUCUAGAAGCUGACACAAGGCCAUCAGAUUCUGAAGUCUCACUAUGAGCACAAGGUGACUUCUACCACCAGAACCAUUGCCGGGGUGACAACUAACAUCCCCUGGCCAGAAAGAAGGACAAAAGACACUUGAGAUUCAUGGUUUUAUUUUUAAAUGUGAAAGAAAAUACGCUGAAAGGAACAAAGUCUGAAGGUUCUGUACCUUGAUAUAUCUCAUGCUGCAUAAUCCUACUAAGCAGCAACCACAGAGUGAAUUGGCAGGGCCAGCACCAGCUGCAGACCAUGAGGGAGCAGGACUGGGAAUGCUCCUCACUGAGGCUGAUGUAAUGUUUUGACUCAACAGAGAACCCGAGAGCGAUCAAACUACAGACUGAAGUUGAGGAUGAGCACUUUCAACAAACAGGCUGGACAGGACCACACAAUCACUGAGAUAAUCACCUUAUUACCCACCAAUAUAACUGCUGUUCGAAGAAACACAGAUGUAAAAAAACCCAGCCACUUAUCCAGGAACAUACUGCAUGAACACACUGGGCCACUUCAGCAGUACUGUACAGUCACUGCUGGAUAUAGCCCACUGCAGAUUUUUGGCAGCUAGCUCCCUGCCACGGGACCAGUCAUUUCCUACUACGUGCAGACACAGAAAAGACACAGAAAUGGUGAGUUCCCCUUACUCGUAAUCAGGUGAGCCCUUCCAAAAAUACAGCGAAGGGGGUCUGCUGUGCCAGCUAUUCAGGAGAACAGUGUAUACCCCAGGACAGGGGCAGGCUGUACACCCUGCCAGCGUCAGAGCUGGCUCACUUGGAGGAGCAGUGCCAGGCCCUGGCCAGGGAUGGGGCCAGCAGCAGCCAGGCUGCAGCAUGCAGCAGCUCCACAUGAGAAAGCAAAUCUUGUCCUGAGGGAACUUCUGUUUACUUGAAUGCCUUCCCUUAUAAUCCCAUUUUAUGGGCCACAUGUUUGGGGAAUGCUGAACAGUCAGGAGACUGGCAGCAACUGGAGAGAGGUGAUUCCUUUCAGAGGACCGCUGUAAAGCAAAAUACAGUCUUGAAUAUUCCCCUGGCAGGCCUGUGCUCAACAGCAUUGUAACUGAUAUUUUGGUCUUAAACACAUACUGAACUCUACCAAGCAACAUCAGUGCUUGGUGUUUUUAUUCAGUGUGUAUAUAUAUGUAUGUAUACACACACACACACACACACACACUGAAUAAGAUUUAAAAUUCAUCUUGAAACACUUUUUCCUGUUAGAAAAUGUUACAUGACAAACUGCACCUCACCUUUUAAAAAUAUAUUCUCCAAGAUGAUAGCUUAGGGGAAGCAGGGAAAAAAAAAAAGGCUGAGUGAGUACUGUGAGUACUCAAUAGCUUCCUUCUUCAUGGGUAGGCCCAGUUAACUCGUAGGUAGAACAGCACAGAUCUCAGCACUGUGGGAUAUGAGACCCAGACACCCCAUCCUCCUUUUACAUUAGCAAGUGAGCAGGGAGGAAGCACUGCCAAGACAAAUUUACCAGGCUUGCAGCAAACUGCAUUCCUUGUAACUCCUCUCUUCUCCCCAAGAAAGUAAAUACCGGCAUGGCUGCUGCAACUUUCAGGCUCAAAGUACGUAAAUUAUCAAUUGAUUCACAGAAUAGAACAUCCUCAGCUGUUUUUAAUCAACACAACACCUUUGUUUUCUAGCCAGAGAGGCCAGUGUGUUUAUUCCCCCCUCCCUCCAUUUCAGUAUAAGCAGAGUGCUCAGUACCUGGCAGGACCAAGCACUUGUUAAGCUGCUGGAGUUCAUUUACAUUAAGAUUUUCUAUAUAGUGCUUUGAAAAAGGGACCGGGCAGAAAGUACAGUGACUUAUAAUCCUGAUGAACAAUGGGCAUUUCUGUGAACUGGCUUUCUACACAGGAUGUGGGGUGGGCCUUCUUGAGCUUGUGUAAUCAGUCUGGAAGUCCGAAAACCACACUCUGAAAACAUGCUUUUCCUUGAACAAAUACUCACACAGUCUAGCAGCAGUUUACAUGGCUGUCAUUCAGCAGUAAGGAAUAUUUUCAUUUAAAAAUAUGUGAAAAAAAAUCUCAGUAUCUGAAACGAGGUACAUGGACCUUAGUUGUAUCUAAUUAAAACAUAUAGCCCUUUUUAUCCAAACAAGAACUUCAUUUAGGAAUGGAAGCAUUAGUUCUGCUUACUGAAAAUGGUGUGAGGACUGCAUUUCAAGCAGAGCUUUACAUACUAGCUCAUGUUUUAGGAUCACCUGAGCCCAGAAAUGACAACUCAAAGGGCAGUGGCAACACUUAGGUUCAAAACACUGGGAAACACAGAUUAUCCUAUGAAACAGUCUCUUUUGGAAGCUGAAUGUAAGAUACUACAUUGAGAAAUCUAGGCGGUCCUCUAAUCCAAAUCCUGCAUUAACUCUUUCACUUCCUCGAAGGUGCACCAGAACACAGUCCACCACAAUAAACAGUUUGCUGUACAAGGACUGGAGCAAGUACAGCAAAGGUUAAAACAUGGGAGAGGAAGGAUUCUUCUUCCAGAGCUCACACCUUGCACUGGGGUAAAAAGACAACACCAGGUAAGAAGUAACAAAAUUGCAUGCAGGAGUAAUGCAUCAUUUCAGUAUUCCACAUUCAGAAAGCUUCUGUAUUCGUAUCAAAAGCAUUCCCAUUUAUCUAACAGACCACCCCAAAAAAAAAGAAAAGAACUUCCACUUGACCACAGAAAUAUUUCCAUCACAAACGCCUGCGUUGUAUCAUAGAGACAGCACAAUAAAGGCAUUAAGAGUCUUUAGACUCAGCCCUGAACUUAAGCCCCGGGGGAAUAUGCUUCCCAGAAAGCAGCAGGCUGAUAUUUCUAAGCACUGCAGAGCAUGCCACUGCUUUACAGAAGUGCAAGAUUUAAUUGAGUGGAUUACUAUGAAAAAUAGUGUCAGUUAUGUUUGUUCUUCUUGAAGAUCUCAUGCAUUGAAGUUAUCUGCCUGAAAGCAUGACCACCCUCUCUCCUGUCUGUCCACCUCUUGAAGUUGUGACACUCAGUUUAUUAAGAAAAUCACCAAAGCAGCAGGAUAUACAUAAAUUCUCCUCGAGUGUGUGCUGGGUAACAGCAUCAGUCUUGUUUUUGAUACUAGAAUACAGUAUUGUAAGAAACUGUUAGGAAUAUUUCUAAGAAUAACUGUUUAAGACCAGCUAUGUAUUUCACAAUAGUCAAUUGAUACAGACUAUUUUAAACUAUGCUUUUUCAUUACAUAUUUUCAAUUCCGAGUGAAAUCUGAUAGUAAUUUGAGGUUUUACCACUGCUUCCAAUACUCACUGCCCCAAGUAACCUUUCUGAAGCUAUAACUUUCUCUCCUGCAUGCAGACUUUCUUUCUGUAGGAAAUCAGAAAUAAUGGAGUUUAAGAUUGAACAACUGGAAGAAAAUCAAUACAACUCCAGCGUAUUGGAACAACUUCUUGCACAUUAACAGGUUCCAUGUGAUGAGGGAAAAGCAAAGCUUUCCCCCACCUCUGUACGUUAAUUAGAGUUAGCAUACUGUGUUCUUUUAGGCAAAUUACGAAGUGACAGCUAUUCAGCAAUAUUAGACACAGCACUUCCUACCACACCCUACAAUAUUUUUGCAAUUAUCACACACUUUGAGUCAGAAACUAUUACACUCUAUGUAUAACUGUUUGGCUUCUGUCUCUGAGCAGCCCUUGUCUGGGCACACAGGCUACACAAAACCAGCUCCGGUGGCUACACAGGAAAGCUGUAAGAAAAUCCCCACAGCCCAACAGGAAGUGUCAUUUCUGUGAUUCACCAGAUUGCAUCUCUUCCUGAGAGUGCACCAACCAGCAUAAGCAGCACAGCAGUAGCUACAUGAAAAAGUCCUUUUCCUGUUUGUGCUGAAGAGCCCGUGACCAUUUCACUUUGGUGUGACCGAGUCCAUCUCCCUCAUCAAACGCCACUAUGUAUUCCUCUACUACUUCAGGCACUUUCAGUUAGGGCAGCGUAGGGAGAAAAGGACAAAAGAGCUGCAAAAGGCAUUUUGCUUCAGAAUUAGCAGUGUCAGAUGAGCAGAGAAAACACUUUCCUGUCAGGAUGUACUGUUUUUUGAUCCUUUUACUUGGAAAAAAAAAGAAUCUCUAAUAUGCUCAUACCGCAGUCCACCACUUUGGUGGAAGCAAAGCAACACAUCGCAGUGAGUGCAUACAGCCCAAUGCACUGGAAGGAAACUGCACAUUACAGUGAUUGGACCAGAAGGAUUACCAGCCAUUUUCUUGCCAAAAUAACAAUUCAAAAAACCUAAGAGUUUUGUUAACAUCACAAGCCACAAAACAGAAUUGAAUUCCAUUCUGCUCCCUACCGUUCCCAUCUGGUUCUAAUUUGCUAGAGAAGACCGAAGACUGUAUUCAAAAAGCGUCAGACUGAGCUGUAAACAUCAGCUUCUCUGCCAGCAUUAGGAGUAACUUGUGAAGUACUGGAGCUACCACGGAAAGGAGUGGGGGAUGAAGCAAGACUUGCUCUGUCAUUAAGCCCAUUGUUUUAAUUGCAUUGUUUCGACCCAUGAAAUGAAAGUGAGAAAUGUUUGAUGCUCAGAAGAAACAUUUGCAGAAAAUCAAGUUCAGCUCAUCUCUAUUGUAACUCUACAAAAUGAAACAGUAAGAAGUUGAGAAGCAUCAGAACAGGCUGCCUGAACAACCAGACCUCUUGUUUAACAAAGUCUGUAAUUAUAGGCCACAUGCUGUUGCCUAAUUUUUUCCUUGUCAAGUUGUAAACAAAGGACAAAGCCUGCUUCAUAUUUGCUGUAGAAAUAGUUUUGUUAAAUUGUGACAAGCUAAUGAGUCUACAGCUAAUAGCAUCUUGCGGUAAAUGUUUAACAAUAUGCCUUUGAGAUUUUGCCCCCUAUCUGUGCCUUAGAUUUCCAAAAGGAUGAAAUUCCUGAAGCCUUUUUCAUUAAUAACUUGUGAUUAGUUUCUCGUUACUUAAGCCCUUGAUGUGAGGCACUGAUGUGACGUGUGAAAACCCACUUACACUGUUGGAAUAGAAGUGAAUAAAAUAAUUGUUUCUGUAGCAACAUGGGCUUGGAAGGUUUAUGUUCUACAACAUACAACAGCUCCCUUCUAUUUUGAAGGAUCGUAGUCGGGUCUGCACUGGGCCCUGUCUCAAAAACUGAGGUGUGGGAAAGAGUGCUCUACUGACUGAGCAGAGCGGUCUCCUGCUCAGAGCGCGCGCUCAGCAUCCAUCAACACAACUGCAGCGAUGGAGCACCGAGCUUUGAUGUCAGAACAGUAAUCUACAGGAGCAGAGAAGAGCAGCUUAGGUAACACCAUAAACCAGUAUUGCCUCCCACAUCCACAACAUGUCCUGACACCCCACUUCCCAGUUGGAGCUCAUUAAGAGAGCUGGCAGCAUCCCAGCACCAAGCCAAGCCUGCAGUCACCAUCAGCUCGGUCCUACUGCUAUCGCUCCACACUUUGUUGUACCGACACAGACUUCUUUCCUCCAUCUAGCAUCACUCCAUGACGCCUCCAGUCUCAAGGCCAAGCAAACAAUCCCAUCAAGCACCUUAGUGAUCUUUUGCCAAUUCUGUGGUUCCAGGCCCAGAGUUCUGCACUGACUUCUUGAUGCCAUUAGAUGACAACCAUUUCAUUUCAGCAGGUCCCCACACAGGACUCACUUUUCACUCACAGUUGCUGAAGGUAGUUCUUCACAAACAACCCCUCUACUUCCAGAUUAGCUCUGUUCAAAAUCAUCAACUCACCAAUUCCUUCCCUUAUUAAUGCAGUCCUUCACCCUUAUUUGUUAUGCGUAUAUGUGAACCCACCACUUAGUUUCCUGCUUAUUAUUGUUGACCUUCCAUCAAAAAGCUCCUUUGAACCAAGUGGCUUCUUUUCUUGCCUAAACAUUACUGCAAUUAGAGGCGAUUAACAGCAGCAGCACACACUCAUACAUUCAGCUUAGAGUAGCCUUGAGCGCGCAUUAUAUGAAGAAUUCACUCAAGUCUCUUCUAGAUCUAGUUAAUGCUAUUCCCAGCCUGCAAGAGAUACGUGUGAAAAGGCUUUGUUACACAUGGCUAAGUUGCAUCUAUUUCAUACAGCUGAGGUAUGUAUAAUCUGACCAGCAUCAAGAAUUGUGAAAGGCUCAUUUUGAAACAAAAGCUUCUUAAACCCCACCCACUACUUAGAUACACUCCUUUCCCAUGAAAGGAUCACAGCCUGGAAAACAUUCGGUAAGCUCUCACAAGCAAGAGCCUUUAUUCUACAGCAUGUAAACAAGAAUGGAGCAUGAUUUCCCCUGCUCGGAUUCUACUGCCUUUGAGAACAAAACGCAGCACCUGUAACUUCAUCAUUAAGAUUUCUGGGAAGCUAAAAAGCUGAGAACAUGGGUAGUGUUACCAGUUCCACUUACAUACAGACCUUUCAGUACCCACAGACUCGCAUGCAGUAGCAGAUCCUACAGCUUAAAAGGAACAUAUGUUGACUUAAGUUACUGUCCUUCAGGUGAUUUAUUUACUGCUGUAGCACAUGCACUGUUCAAUGUUUCCUUUAUAUCUUUUCAAUAGUGGUAGUCAAUACUCGCAUCACACUUCAUAGGUGUUCACACAGUUGCUACCUUAUUACUAACUUCUUAUAACAUUACCAUAAAGACAUUAAAACUACUUUGCACAAACUGCAAACUAAAAUCACAAGCCUGUAGAAAGCAUUCAAUUAGCAACAAACUUCUUGGUUUUCAUGCACAAUUUAGGAAUUUAUCUGAGCAAAGCAGAACGGCUCAAGAAUCUCAGUAGCCAAGUGACCACAGCGCUGUGCCUCUUUAACACUGAAUUAGCAUGAAUCAGACACCGGAGGAUUAAGGCUUUACUGUCUGUGCCUAAGCAGUGAUGCAACAGGCUGUAAGUCUUUCUGGAAGCAGACAUUUUUCUCCUGAAGUUCAACAUUUUCUCAGUCUGUAUCCUCUUCUCAUAGCUAAAGCAGCUAAUGCUAGCAUUAUUACGUUUUUACUUCAGCAGAAAGAAUUACAGCCAGCAGCUGAGAUCUAUCCAGUUUUCACAACCAAACUUUAAGUGAAACAAAACCCCAAAUGAAACUGCAAACCAACACCCGCAAAUAGAGCAUGACCACCACUGCUACGUAAGAGGAAAGUACACCGUGCAAAAUACACCUAACACUGAAAUGAAAGAUCCCUUAUAUCCACUAGUGACAGUCAGAAGCUGCAGGAGGAGCAUGCUAGGACAAGCCUCCUGCUUCCAGCUAUGCUCCACACACGGGGACUCUUCUCCAUGCCAAAGCUACUAUCUAUCUGCCUCUUGCCCAAGUGAUUCCAGGCCACUUCUGCACACAUUCUGCAGCACCAAGAAGCUUCACACCUUAGGUGGAUUGCUGCAGAUCGAUUUGUCAGGAAGAGAGAUUAUUUAUAUCAAGGGUACAUACACUUUGACUGCAAAUGCGAGAUCAACACAAUACCCCAGACUCUUCUCUCCCCACUUUUAACACCCAUGUACCACUGCCAAUAAACGUAUGCAGCAAGAGAACUGUCGUUAUGCUAUUUUACUUUUCAAAACAGCAACUACAGACAGAGGAUAUGUUUUCUUUUGUUUUAAAUUUCUCCCUUAGGAGAAAACCAGAGGGGCUACCAUGGACUUCCUCAUACUGCUAUGGCUCAAGCUGGCAAUUAAGAUUUGUAUGGUUGUUGGUGGAGGCUUUUUUGUUUGUGUGCUGUUUUUUUAAGUAGGGAAGCAGUUUGACAUUGCAGAGACUAAACAGGCGCUGCUACCUGUACCUAUAAAUCGCUCCUACGUGUACAAGUAAUUUGUAACUAUGGAUGAGAAGCAGCAGCUGACAGACACUAAUGGCUGUUACCUACAUACAUUCACACUACACUAAGGGGUACUAUGACACUCUGUUUCACUGAUUUCUCACGUUGCUCAGGCCUGUGCACAGCAUCAAAGUUCCAAAGACGGCAAUCAGAGAAGUAGAUCUAGUUAUGAGUUGUAAUAACCACACUUUGGAGAAGCCACGUAUAACUCUCAGAUAAGCUGCAUUCUAAUAUUAGUUGAGAAGUGCAAUGCCUUUGCAUUCCUGGAAAAGAAAAUAGGUAGAGUGCUGCAGUGUAACUGCUAUGCUGUCCUACUCCUUCCACAACAGGUGAGGACAGACUGGCAUCAUUCUUCAGCUGGAACUGAUAAAGCAGCUGCGGGUUGCGUUUUUCCUCCUUGUUCAAGGUAACUGAGAUUCUGGGGGAGGGGAAGACAGGAAACGAGCACUUCUCCUGGUCCCCAAACCUAAGAAUAGCUGAGAUGGCAGUGCUGCAAGAUUUAGGCCACACAAGCAUUCAGAGAAGCAUGAAAUAUUUACACUCCGGGCAAACAAUCACAGAAGCCUUGCUUUUUGCCCAGAAUCUUUUUCUCAUUUUCCAAACAGAUCAGGAGGUUGUCCCAGGAAAGUUUACUUUCAGAGGGCAGAAAUGAGCUUGUUGUUAUAUUUUUAAACUACAGCUCUUUUUUUCUGUUCGUAUCUGAGAAGUCAGUUAAGCAGCAAGUACAGAUGACAGGACUCGGACUUGUGGAAUCAAGCACUGACUUUCACCUUUCAGGCACCUCUUGCACUGAAGGGAAAAAAAUCAGCAGUUUUAACAGUUUCUAUUCCACAUGGGAAGAGAAAGAAAACAAACACCUUUGUAUUUAUGCUGGGUACCACAUCCUAGAGAAAACUCAAAGUAAAUGCAAACAGUGUGAGUGAAAAAGACUGAAAAGAACACAUACAGUUUGCUGCCGCUGAACACAUUUUCCAUGACUUCUACCCAUAAGCAUAAGCUAAAUUCCUACAAACUGUGACUAGUAAAGAAAAAGUGACUGCUUAUAUCCUACAGACAAUUUUAGGUGAUGCAGAACAUGCACAAUAUUUCAGGGCUUACUUAGAGGCUUCAUCAUCCCAUCUCCAUGUAACAAGGCCACUGAUCUGGUUAGAACAUCUGCCAUUGCAAAAAGCUGGACAAAGUUGAGUUUGGUAUGAACAUCUAGCUUCAAAACAGCACUCAAAGUAAAACACAGAUACAACUCAACACCUCUUUUUGUUUACUCUUGGCCAAUCUUCCUCCUUUCCAUUCAGCUGGUUUCCAGGCUUAUGUACUUCACACUAUCCAUUCACUGCACAGGAAAUAUGCAAGCUGAUUUUGCAUUAGUCUGGCUGACAAGUGGGAAUUUGGAUGUAAAAUUGCAGCUCUUUGACGAACUUAAGUCUCCAGCAUGGUUACUUUCCUUUGAUGUUUAGAAAUAACUCACACUAUCAUUCAAAUGCCAACAAAACUAUCUUAAGUUUUGAAAUUAAGAGCCCUUAAACUUGAGCUUAAGUAGAUCUUAUGUGCUAACCCCAUGGCACAGCGAAGCACACCUAGCUGCACCCACGCAGAAAACUAGGGAAGGAAACCAUCAAUAAACAUUCUCCUCACCUCAUGGAAAGAGGGCUUCAAGUUGCCCACUACCCCCAGAGCAUACUUAAAUUGCCUAUAUAGGCAGGAAACCAAGGUAUUCCACCUGGCAGAUUAAGUGCUAGAAAUCCAUGACAGUUCAGAUAUGAGCUCCCAGAAGAAAGGAAAUUAUAGCUAAAAACAACCCCACUCUAUGUUUCCCUUCACAAGCUCCCUAAGAUGAAUGGAAGAAACAAAAAAACAAAAAAACUACCCAUGCUUUCCUAUUACACAACAACCAGCAAUCAUGUGAUGCACAAUGCAGCACAAGUGUUUGAAAUAGGGAUGUUUUCCAUACAGAGAAGAUUCUCCUCCAAACUUUCAGUCAUUUAAAACUCUGCACUUGCAUACAAUACCUCUGUUCUAAUCAAUUCUACAAUUGACUCUAGACAUAGCCUGAAGGUACUUAAAAGUUGUAUGCUGUUCAAGAAGUACAGGUUAGGCCUGCUCAUUUUCUGCCCAAUACAGACAAAUUUCACUCAGGUGCUCUUUUUUGUUGUUUGUUUUUUAAAAACACCUCCAGUUAGCACUGGGAAUACACUCUUUGCUUCAACCCAUCUCUACUUUUACUCUUUCCUCUAAACAGAUGCCUUAACCUGUAGAAGCCUUCACUCACCAUCCUCCCUUCGGUAGUCUGUAAAUAUUUGUAAGCACGGCCAUCCACAUGUAUUGAUAUGCUGGCUUUUGACCCUUUCAUCUUUCAUGCACUGAAGAACAGUUUGUUUAACCAGAUUUAAUGGAUACCUGACAUUUUUAAAGUCUGCUUGCAAGAGAAUGCAUUUCAUCCUUUCUUUCCUGCAAAAGACAAGAAGGCCAGGAGUCUCCUCUGAACAGGGAAUAUUCCACAUCAAGGGAGCUUGUAACAAAUAACACAAGUCAGACAUGUUCUUGCUUAACUGAACUGUCAAAAAAACCUAAGUCUCAAUGCUCGCAUGUUAAACAAAUGUAAAGGAAAAACAACUGAGUUCAACAAAGCAUCUCAUUAUUUAUCGUAUGACAAGUAGAGCAAGAUUCCAUCUUAAGAGCUACAGUAAAAGAGUUUCUGAACAGUUGUAAAACCUCUUAUUUGCUCCAAGGCCAAGUGGGCACAUCCAAAAAUCAGACUCAAUGUAGGGUUUUAGAAAGGUGCAGAAACAGAAAAAUCUACUGGACUUUUCAACAACCAGUCCAGGUUUGUUUGUUUUUUAACUCUGAUAGUCUGUAUGGAGUGGAGAACACCACUGAACAGACUGAUGACCCAGAAGGGCAGGAAGCAUCAACUCCAGAACAGUAUUUUUACAUCAUACUGGGGAAAAAAAAAGAAAAAGCGACUUAUUUUAAACUGUUAUUUCAUACAACCUUUAAAGGCUUUGAAUUUUAAAUACAGAACAGCUUCUGAACAGCUGUGAAGCUGAAAUAUCUAAGUUUGCAAGAUGCUAUUUCUAGGAAGAUGCAACAGAUGUUUUGUACUUGUUCAUAUGUACAUCCUAUUCUAAACAGGAUGUGGAAUUUACUUGUAAUGAGCACAAUCAGUGUAUAAUUGCUGUUCAACGCUAUUCAAGCAAAAAGGAGAAGCAUAAGACACUUCCUGUCAAAUACACAGGCUGCCUAUUGGACAAAUCCAUGCAUUAUGCAGCACUUAAAGACAAGCAGAAGUACCUUCCAGCAAGUCACAUCUAGAUAGGAGCAGCUACAGACAGUUUGAUCUCUGCUUACUUUGUGCUGUGCUACUUACAAAAUAUACUGUAAGGAUGUGAGCAUUAGUCAAGUGGAAAGUUUGCGAUGUAGGCCUAUAGUUCUGAUCAGACUAGGUAGCAGAGCCAUUAAAGUGAACAGAACAGGCCCUGAGUGCUGCCUGAAUAUUCUCACUAACUUACUAAAGUGGGUAGAGCUGCUGGAACAUUGUUGCAGUAUCACUGCAUUACUAAAAUUAAGAUAUGUUUAAGUAAAGUGACGUAAGCAGGAGAAAGUGUCAUACUCCCCAAACGAUCACCUUGCUUUGCUAACUGUAGGAUGGGGUUAUGACAGCUUUAACAAAAAGCUCUCCAAGUACGUUCUAGCAUUUGGCCUAGAAGGCAAAAUCUGGAUAACCAACACCAAGAAGAACAGCAGAUAACUACUCCUAUUUACUUGAACAGGAUUACCAAGGAGUUAUGCUACUGAAUUAAAAGAUAAACCAACGUAGCUAACAGCUGCUUGCAAGACCAAUAGUACUUGCAGCACAAUAGCCGGGGGGAAAUGGUAGAAGAGCAGCUUGCCUGUUCCAGAAAAAAUAGUGAAACAGAAAUACGCACAGUCAACUCUGAGAAAUAGUGCAGGCUUAACUACAGCCUUCAGGACACAGUCCUAAUAAUACCUUGUGACAACCAUUCCCUCCCAUUAAUUAGGUCUACACUACCAACUGUAGUUUUAGGAGUCACCUGAUGAAAAAGCUCUAAGACAUGUAGAAUUCAGUAGGUUGAAUUUGCUCUCUAUAAUCCAUCUGACAGCAGCAUGUUUUUUUCUUCUUGUUCAUAGUACUUAGCCUCAUCUGAAAUAUUCCUGCUCACCAAAUUUAAAAGAAAGAAAACAAUCUAAAUGCUUCCUUUAUAUUCCCUAUUUUUGCCCCAAACAACAUACUAUAUAUACACCCUGAAAAAGUCCUCCAAUUUCAGGAGUCCCUCAGUGCUACAGCAAGAAUGCUGCACACCUACAUUCAGUGUUUAUAUUUAAAGUUUAGCCUUAAGUAGAUGAUCUGGGAAAGAGAAGAAAAACCUUGAAAAACUAUUUUACUUGCAUAUAAAACCCACCUGCAUUUUUAUGCAAUUUUCAAGUCAAUGGAAAUUUAAGGGUAUGACAUGGUAGUAUUACAGAAUUACAGUAAUAGUUUUCACAAGUCAGCAGCAGGCUAAGAAAACCUGCUAUGUCCCAGACUCAUCACAAGAGGUACCACCAAAAACAUUCCUGCAUUUUUAAGCACAGCAAAGCAGGUGAUUCAACAACCCAAUUUCUUCCUCUUCACAUUUGGUUACUCUGUCAGGUACCACAAAUCCAUCUCUUGCUACAGGUACGUGAAGUCAAGAACUCAAAGGCCCACUGCCACUACCUCUUCGUUACGGUCAUUUCCCCUCCCCAGAAGAAAUCAGCACAGAUUCAAAUGUAUUAUCUCUUCUAAAGAGGAGACACUUCAAGUUCAAAAACUGCUGUCAGUUGAGCGCAGACACCGUGGCUCCUAGAUGAAGUAUAUUCUUUCCUAUGCUUGUGCAGAGACAGUAGACAGAAGUGUUUCUCAGAAGCAGUUUAAAAAUAGGAUCUCACAACUGCCCAGCAUGCCUUUAUAAGCUUACGAUAUGCCUGCUCCAGUGUAUGAGCACUGAGAUGAUGGCACGCAGCUCUGGAGACAAAUUCAGUGUGCAGUACUACCUUGACAAAAGCAACAGUUUCAUUUCAUCAAAAAGCAGCCUUCGAAAUCAGUACAGGGGUAGUAACAGUAUUAAAAAACAUGCUCUCAAUAAGUCUUUUAAUUAGAAGGCCCGUUGUUUUUCCUGGAGGGACACCUCCUGUCUCAGAUAAGACAGCAGUACAAACAUUACAGCCCAAAAUGGAGCAGCACAACUACCCCAGUUCAGCACUUAGAAGAGAAUUAUCCUGGUAGAAGACCGGACCAAAGCUACAGCUUAGGUUACACUAACAGCAGCACAACUAUAAAUCUCCAGUUCAUUUUUCACUUAAAUUUAGGGAACCACAUGACAGUGAUCUAAUCGGGGAGGGCAGAAACAUGGGAGGCAGGAACAAGACAGAACUAGAUGUCAAGUACUUAUUUUCCACACAGCUCUUCCCUCUUCUUGUGUCCCCCCCACUAGUUUUGACAGUGACACCCCAGAUUGGCCACACAAGUUAGCCUUGGACUCGUAAGGGUUUGGUAUAUUGCAAGUGUAUUAGCAUUGCACCCAGUGGCUACCAAAGACCUGAACACGACAACCAACCAAGAAGAAGUACAUAUACUAAUCAUUGUACAAAGAAUUGUACAAAGCUUCACCAACACAAUGUUUCAUUAGUUGUCAACCUACUGAGGUUAGCAAGAAGGAAACAUGAUUGUAGCCAGUCAGAAAGCUUCCCACUCUGAAUACAGCAGUUAGACAUCCUAAUUGUGUACUUUUGAAUAGGCCACACUGACCAGGACUACAGCAGUCUUCUGAAGUUAAUCCUUUCUAGAAACAUUAAGUAAUGCUGCAUUGCAGCUGCACUUUACUGUUGAAAAAGGAAUGCUGCAUAUUUGUACAUCAUUAACAAGCUGUCAAACAGUGCUUCCACGCUUGACCACAAGAGAACCCUUACUACUCCUUCUGAGUCAACUAAAGCUUAUCCUAACACAAACCCUCAAGUUGCACGCAAAGGAUGCUCCUGUCCUGCUGCUCUUCAAACAGUCCUUCCAAAUCCAGGUGGAAAUAUCUGUUGACACUGAUUGGUUUCUGCUCAGUAGAAAGUCACUGGACGUGCAAGCAACACAUACUAAUUUGACAAGAGACCAUUGUGACCCACUGAGAUGACAAGUUUUUUUUUAAAGAUUAGCUUAGAACUCUUCCAGUACAACUAAUUCUUCACCAAGCGGUUCAGUUAUUACAUUACCAAUCACUUCAGGAGCAAGAAAGCCUCCCUCAAGUUCCAUGCUGUUCCAAUGAAAUAAGCUCAUUAAGUUCAAAAGUCCUGUGAACUCUUAACUGGAAUUCUGUUCUUUCCCAGCUUUAGCCGGAACAUUUUUGUAGGUUAUCCUAUCAAUGCAUCUGAAAUGACCCUGCCACCUGCUGUUCCUACAACUGUAGGUCAACCUAGUAAUACCUUACAUACAUUUUUAAAAAAAAUAUGCCCAACUCCUUAAGCAAGGAUUAUAGUGAUUCUGACUCUAAAACUGCCGUUAGGAUUUGCCACUUCGAUUCCUUAAGAAUUGCCUCUUUAAUAAGGGAAAAAAAAAAAACCAAACAGGUAAAACUUGCACAUCUCCAUUCUUUCUCCCUGCAGCUGCUUCUUCCUAUUCCUGUUCAAGCAGGACUGUUUGUGAAGCCAUGCAGCCAACCUUCACGUUAAAAAAUGAUCCAUUCUAAUCAGCUAUGGCAUUAAUGCACACUCGGAUCUAUUACGCUUCGUAUCCCUCUCUCCCUUCUCCUCUACGUACCCUUGAACUCUUGUCAGUCUUCAUAUGACUAGUACUGUAAACAGUACUGUUUAAAUAACAGGUCUUAGCAAAAGCACAAACCAUAUACACAUGCACAGACAGGCUACCGCAGCAAGUUAGGACCACAGGUCUAAAUGCUGGAGAACACACAGCCAAUUGAAAUGCCUUCAGUAAAAGGGAAGAAUUACAGUUAAGUAGAAACUGUUUCUCUCCCUGGUUGGCUACCAUAAAUACGAACUACUUUUUAAACACCUCCCUCUCCUACAGCUUCCUUUGUUUCCCAUACCUUCCAGAUAAAGGCACAGCUUACAGACUGGCCUUCAAGCAAAUCCCCUUCCCAUAGGUUUCUGUCUCAAAGCAGUAUGUGCAUUUGCUGUUAUUCAUCUGCAGCAGAAGUAAUUUCAGAAUACAUCACAGACAUAAUUUCAAGACUGUGCUACACCACCACGAAAGUUAUCACUUCUCAAAGAAGACAGUGCUUCCCUGAAAACAGCUAACAGGUCUGCCCUGAAACAAACAAAAAUAUUAUUAUUAGAGUAUUCCUUCAUUUCUGUUGUGUCAUAAGAACAGAAGGACUACUCUGCAGUUCGAGUGCUUCUGUGACAAGCUACCCAUUACACAGAACUUUUAAGAAAGUUCAGCUCUUAAUUCCUAAAACUAAAUCUGGUAUUAAUAGGUGCUGACUAAAAGGCUUCUUUACGAAUUGAAGCUCUCUACCACAUAGAAACUUUUGAUUUCUGAGUAUUCUAUGAGCUACUUAUGUAAGAACGUAAGUAUUCAGUUUGUUCCCUUACAGUGAGAGAGACAACUGCUCCCCACUCUGUAAUCACGGAAUGCAAGCCUAAAUGCAAGUGCUAAUGAAGUAGAACGUGUUUUUCGUCAUCUUCAGUUCACAUUAACACUCUCCACUAAGUACAUAGCCAGGAAAUAUUCAUGUCAGGUCCCAAAUAAAAUCUGUUCUAUCUCGUAAGAAUUGCUGCGCUCUAGAAGCUUCUCUAGAAGAUUCUAUUACAAAGGGAUUAUUUACCUUGUGCUAUAGUAUGUCUAUACAGGAAGAAACAAUAAUCCAGUCACUUACAUGUUGGGUCAACAAACCAACGGCCUCCUCCUAACACUACUUCCACUGCUUCGUUUUUCUGAACAGCGUUAACAACCUCUAGGAUCAAGAAUCCUGCUCUUUGCAGUACCCUGCACAGAACUGGCUGCUGCAAGGCUCAGCUGACAGCCACCAUCUGACAUGCAAAAAAAAAAGGGGGGUUUCUUUCAGGAAGCAGCGUACAUCACAGAAGUUAAGCUCAGAUGAGAUUCCAAACUUCAAAAAGCUUUGCACUGUCAUCCUUUAUUACUCUCUCUAUUUCUUUCCUGGUACAAAGGAAAAAUGUAGCACUAUCAGAUGUCCAAGCCCACUGCUCCCCUCCCCGGCACACAUAACCUGCAGGCUCUAAUUGCAGCUAAUACGGACUGCGUACAGCAGCUCCCCCAUUCCCAGCUGUUUCUUAUGCAACCAGGCUCCACCUCACGUUACUUAUGUAACACAUUAAGUAGUGUCUAUUAUACAGGAUUCUUCUACAUUAGUCACAUACUCAAUAACUUCCAUUCCAGUCGUUUUAACAUAACGCAUCCACCAGAAAUUCAAGCUUCCUGCCCCACCAGGUUGCUACUGCACAGAAAAGAAACAAACCACACCUGUGAACGUAUUAAGACUGGAAAAGCGCUGCCAAACAUUUCUAAAUUUAACAGAUCACCAUCAUUCGCCUCAGCAAUUUUAGCUGUUAAGUUCGCUUUCUGGGUCAGGUGCAGAGGCUCACGUUACGUUGUACCAUAUGAAAAUGAGAUAUGGGAACCAGCACCAAACUGCUCUGAACGCAUGAGCACCCCACCCAAACAGUACAAUGUGCCGCACUCCUUGAGAAGAAAAACGUGUUAGAAUUGGAAAACGUACAUUUUUCACCCUCC